ACGCUCGUAGCUCAGAGGAACGAGAGCACCGCCCUGCGACGGCGGAGGCCGCUGGUUCGAAUCCAGCCGGGCGUA
rnacentral:tRNA from 1 species